UACGUAGGAUGCGAGCGUUGUCCGGAAUUAUUGGGCGUAAAGAGAACGUAGGCGGUUUGUUAAGAUUGGUCUUAAAGACUGGGGCUCAACCCUGGGAGUGGACUGAUGACUGGCAGACUUGAGUUAGUCAGAGGGAAGUGGAAUUCCGAGUGUAGCGGUGAAAUGCGUAGAUAUUCGGAGGAACACCAGUGGCGAAAGCGACUUCCUGGGGCUGUACUGACGCUGAGGUUCGAAAGCUCGGGGAGCAAACAGG
rnacentral:rRNA from 1 species